rnacentral:rRNA from 1 species
UACGUAGGGGGCAAGCGUUGUCCGGAAUCAUUGGGCGUAAAGCGCGUGUAGGCGGCCCGGUAAGUCCGCUGUGAAAGUCGGGGGCUCAACCCUCGGAUGCCGGUGGAUACUGUCGGGCUAGAGUGCGGGAGAGGCGAGUGGAAUUCCUGGUGUAGCGGUGAAAUGCGCAGAUAUCAGGAGGAACACCAAUUGCGGAGGCAGCUCGCUGGAACGUUACUGACGCUGAGACGCGAAAGCGUGGGGAGCAAACAGG